CCGCGGCGUGCACACUUUCCACACGCAAGACACCUGAGCGGCUCCAAGGCGCUCCGUGCGUAAAAGCGCGCAAAUUCGCGCCGCAGCGCCGACUUUGAGUGCGUUAAGUGCCAAAACAGGUGUUGGUCACGCAUGCAGCAUAGGGAGCUGUUGCAUACUCACUAUUCCUUCAGAAAGCUCCAAGCUUGAGGUUGGCGGUCAGUCGGUCCAGAUCCGGAGAGAAUGUGCAAAUCGCAGAGAGAGAGAGAGAGAGAGAGAGAGAGAGAGAGAGAGAGAGAGAGAAGGAAAAAAAAACAAAACGAGUGCUACAAGAACUUUGUCAAAACUUGUAUUUUCAGUUCGUUGAAAACUAUACAAGAAAGAAAAAAUUUGCUUUUGAUAGAUUUACACAAAAUGUCAAUGUAAAAAAAACAAAAAACAAAACAAAACAAAAAAGAUGUGAGUGCUAUUUCCACCUUUGUGCAUUCGUCGCUGGUGAAUACAGAAAUUAAGUAAACGCGCCAUUAAAUGGGCUAAUCACGAUGGGGACUCCUCCUCUGUCCCAAUCUCCCAUUGUGGCUCCUGAAAAGAGCUUUUCUUCCUCGGAGGAGAACCAUUUCCCCCCCAUCCACCAAAAAAAAAAAAAAAAAAAAAAAAAACUCUUUUCGCCUCCCCCUGCAGUCCAUUUCCAACCAAAAUCCCCAACCAAUUAUUAUGCCGAGACUGGGGCGCAAAUAUUCAACUACAGGACACUGUUGCACGAACAUUUUUAUUAUUAUUAUUAUUAUUAUUAUUAGUGGUAGAGACACUUUCUCAAACAUAGGCAAUAAGUGCUGUAGUUGACAGAAAGCGGGAUACGGGAGCUGUUUGCUGUUUAAGAGAUGUAGAAAACUGCAGCCUGCAGGGCGAACAUCCACAGUACUUUGAUCUUGCCAGAUUUUCAGCGUUAUUUUAUUUUUUUAUUUUUUGCUUGUUUGUUUUGCUUGACAUUUUUAACUGUUUUUUUUUUCUUCCCGUAUAUUGUGUCGAAACAAACACUUGGGGGGCCCUGUGUGGCUUCAGAGAAAGGGGGGAAAAGUUUCGAAUUGAUUGAGGACGUCAACUUUGUAGCGGAUCCUGAAGUGCUGAAGUUUGUUUGCGCACACGCACGCGGUGGACACGACACCAAGUGUGACGUCAAACGAAUUUUAUGCAAAACAUUUAGAGUCGCGAAGAGGAUGUGGGUACAGAUCAUUUACUUUUUAAAAGCUCAAGAAUUGUUAUUUUACGGAAAAACUGCGCAGAAAAUGCGAUUCUAAAUCACGUAAUCGUGCAGGUUUUUUUUUUUUGUUUUUUGUUUUUGACCCAUGAGCUUGAGCAAGCAAGUAGGUGAAAAUUUAUGUAUACCGCGUCUUUUUGCUUAUGAAUACGGAAAGUGCUGAGAAAAACAAAAGUCAAGUACGUUUUAAGAAAAUGAUUGAAAAUGAAUAAACAUGAAGCGACUUUAAA